rnacentral:rRNA from 1 species
UUUUUUAAUUGAAAGCUUGUAUGAAUGGUUGAAUGAAAUAUUAACUGUUUCAUAAAUAAAAAUUAAAAUUUUAUUUUUUAGUAAAAAAGCUAAAAUAAAAUUAAAGGACGAGAAGACCCUAUAAAGUUUUAUAAUAUAUAAAUAAUUAUUUUUGUAGAAAAUUUUGAAUUUUAAUUUUUAUAUUAUUUUAUUGGGGUGAUAAUAAAAUUUAAAAAACUUUUGUAAUUUUUUAACAUUAAUUUAUGAAUUUAUGAUCCAAUUAUAUUGAUUAAAAAUUUAAAUUACUUUAGGGAUAACAGCGUAAUUUUUUUUUAAAGUUCAUAUUAAUAAAAAAGAUUGC